GAUGAACGCUGGCGGCGUGCCUAAUACAUGCAAGUCGAGCGAACGGACGAGAAGCUUGCUUCUCUGAUGUUAGCGGCGGACGGGUGAGUAACACGUGUAUAACCUACCUAUAAGACUGGGAUAACUUCGGGAAACCGGAGCUAAUACCGGAUAAUAUUUUGAACCGCAUGGUUCAAAAGUGAAAGACGGUCUUGCUGUCACUUAUAGAUGGAUCCGCGCUGCAUUAGCUAGUUGGUAAGGUAACGGCUUACCAAGGCAACGAUGCAUAGCCGACCUGAGAGGGUGAUCGGCCACACGGGAGCUGAGACACGGUCCAGAGUCCUGAGGGAGGCAGCAGUAGGGAAUCGUCCGCAAUGGGCGAAAGCCUGACGGAGCAGCGCCGCGUGAGUGAUGAAGGUCUUCGGAUCGUGAAGCUCUGUUAUUAGGGAAGAACAUAUGUGUAAGUAACUGUGCACAUCUUGACGGUACCUAAUCAAAAAGCAACGGCUAACUACGUG
rnacentral:rRNA from 1 species